rnacentral:tRNA from 1 species
AAAAAGAUAAGCUAAAUUAAGCUUUUGGGUUCAUACCCCAACGAUAGUAAAAAUACUUCUUUUUA